GCUAUAAUAAAAAGACUUUGCUCUAAAUCUUUACACAUUUUGAAAAAGGUCUCAAUUUUGCUUUUCUAGUUGCACCUCUUCAGCUUCAAAAUCCAGCUGUGGCCUAAAUACUCAGUGAAGACAUUCUAGCAGAUAUUAUGAAGAAACCUUAGACUAAUCUAAAUAUUACAUGAAACUAAAUAAGGCUGCUGUAAAGUCAAUAAUGAUCUGAGUAGUGGAUUGCCAUUUGCAACACAUGUAAUAGAGUAUUGCUAGUCACAACCGUUUUGCUGAAAUUAAAAACAGGACAAACUAAGAUGAUCCAGAGAGGGAAGAACACUGAUAGGUGAGCGUCAAGGAGGGAAGCACACUUAUGGAAUAAAAGAGUAUCUUCCCUGCUAUUGCAGCUAAUUGUUUUGGGCUG